AGCCUGCGCAGCCUAACACAUGCAAGUCGAGCGGUAGCACAGAGAAACUUGUUUCUUGGGUGACGAGCGGCGGACGGGUGAGUAAUGCUUGGGAACAUGCCUUUAGGUGGGGGACAACAGUUGGAAACGACUGCUAAUACCGCAUGAUGUCUACGGACCAAAGUGGGGGACCUUCGGGCCUCACGCCUAAAGAUUGGCCCAAGUGGGAUUAGCUAGUUGGUGAGGUAAUGGCUCACCAAGGCAACGAUCUCUAGCUGGUUUGAGAGGAUGAUCAGCCACACUGGAACUGAGACACGGUCCAGACUCCUACGGGAGGCAGCAGUGGGGAAUAUUGCACAAUGGGCGAAAGCCUGAUGCAGCCAUGCCGCGUGUGUGAAGAAGGCCUUCGGGUUGUAAAGCACUUUCAGUCAGGAGGAAAGGGUGUGUUUUAAUAGAACGCAUCUGUGACGUUACUGACAGAAGAAGCACCGGCUAACUCCGUGCCAGCAGCCGCGGUAAUACGGAGGGUGCGAGCGUUAAUCGGAAUUACUGGGCGUAAAGCGUACGCAGGCGGUUGAUUAAGCGAGAUGUGAAAGCCCCGGGCUCAACCUGGGAACUGCAUUUCGAACUGGUCAACUAGAGUGUGAUAGA
rnacentral:rRNA from 1 species